rnacentral:rRNA from 1 species
AUAUCAAUAAGCGGAGGAAAAGAAACUAACAAGGAUUCCCCUAGUAACGGCGAGUGAACCGGGAAGAGCUCAAAUUUGAAAUCUGGCAGUCUUCGAUUGUCCGAGUUGUAAUCUAUAGAAGCGUUUUCCGUGCUGAACUGUGUAUAAGUCCCUUGGAACAGGGUAUCAAAGAGGGUGACAAUCCCGUACUUUACACAAUCAUCAGUGCUCUGUGAUACGUUCUCUACGAGUCGAGUUGUUUGGGAAUGCAGCUCAAAAUGGGUGGUAAAUUCCAUCUAAAGCUAAAUAUUGGCGAGAGACCGAUAGCGAACAAGUACCGUGAGGGAAAGAUGAAAAGCACUUUGGAAAGAGAGUUAAACAGUACGUGAAAUUGUUGAAAGGGAAACGAAAUUCAUGAAUCAUGUUUAUUGGACUCAGCCGUUCUUCGGUGUACUUCCUUUAAACGGGUCAACAUCAGUUUUGUCCGAUGGAUAAAGGUAGUAGGAAGGUGGCUCUCUCGGGAGUGUUAUAGCCUAUUGCUGCAUACAUUGGAUGAGACUGAGGACUGCAGCUUGCCUUUAUGGCCGGGGUUCGCCCACGUUCAAGCUUAGGAUGUUGACAUAUUCUCGAAUCACGACCCGUCUUG